GCGCCGCCGCUCCCCCUCCCCCUCCCUCCACCGGUGACCGGCGCCACCGCUCCAUCUCCCCCUCUUCCUCCUGUCUCACCGGCACGGCGCGGCGACUGGGAGGGGACCCACCAGCAGCGCCGCUUCCCCUCGGCCACUCCCCCCUUCCUCCACCGGCGGCGCUCUCCUUCCGGCACGAAUCCGGCGGCGGCGGCGGCUCCCUCAACCCCUUCGCAGCUCGGCAAGCCACUGCCGGCGGCCACUCCGCGCCCCUUCACCGGUUUUGGCCAUGGGAGGCGGUGGCAGCAGAGGCGGCUAUGGAAAAAUCUGCUCGAUUUCUGUUCGAUUUGUUUUUUUUAUCUCCGUUUGCUGUUCUUCUAUUCUUAUAUUUGGGAUCUAACAUAA
rnacentral:lncRNA from 2 species